rnacentral:snoRNA from 1 species
UGUCCAAUGCCACGUCGCCGGUAGCCGAUGGGCUUUGACCGGCGAUGCUAUGAUUGGACAGAAAUCAAUUUUAUGUUUCGCUUGCUGAUAGGAACCUGUGAAUCUGAUUGCAGUUGAUUCACGGAGCCGAUUUCGGCGAUUACAUUU